rnacentral:rRNA from 1 species
GACGAACGCUGGCGGCGUGCUUAACACAUGCAAGUCGAACGGUGAACCAGAGCUUGCUCUGGGGAUCAGUGGCGAACGGGUGAGUAACACGUGGGCAACCUGCCCAGACUCUGGGAUAACUCCGGGAAACCGGAGCUAAUACCGGAUACGACUACUUCGGACAUCCGACGGUAGUGGAAAGUUUUUCGGUCUGGGAUGGGCCCGCGGCCUAUCAGCUAGUUGGUGGGGUAAUGGCCUACCAAGGCGACGACGGGUAGCCGGCCUGAGAGGGCGACCGGCCACACUGGAACUGAGACACGGUCCAGACUCCUACGGGAGGCAGCAGUGGGGAAUAUUGCACAAUGGGCGAAAGCCUGAUGCAGCGACGCCGCGUGAGGGACGACGGCCUUCGGGUUGUAACCUCUUUCAGCAGGGACGAAGCGAAAGUGACUGUACCUGCAGAAGAAGCACCGGCUAACUACGUGCCAGCAGCCGCGGUAA